rnacentral:rRNA from 1 species
GACGAACGCUGGCGGCGUGCUUAACACAUGCAAGUCGAACGGAAAGGCCCUGCUUUUGUGGGGUGCUCGAGUGGCGAACGGGUGAGUAACACGUGAGUAACCUGCCCUUGACUUUGGGAUAACUUCAGGAAACUGGGGCUAAUACCGGAUAGGAGCUCCUGCUGCAUGGUGGGGGUUGGAAAGUUUCGGCGGUUGGGGAUGGACUCGCGGCUUAUCAGCUUGUUGGUGGGGUAGUGGCUUACCAAGGCUUUGACGGGUAGCCGGCCUGAGAGGGUGACAGGCCACAUUGGGACUGAGAUACGGCCCAGACUCCUACGGGAGGCAGCGGUGGAGAAUAUUGCACAAUGGGAGGAAGCCAGAUGCAGCAACGCCGCGUGCGGGAUGACGGCCUUCGGGUUGUAAACCGCAUUCGCCUGUGACGGAGCGUGAGUGACGGUAAUGGGUAAAGAAGCACCGGCUAACUACGUG